rnacentral:rRNA from 1 species
CCUACGGGUGGCAGCAGUGAGGAAUAUUGGUCAAUGGGCGGAAGCCUGAACCAGCCAAGUAGCGUGCAGGAUGACGGCCCUACGGGUUGUAAGCUGCUUUUAUACGGGACUAACGCGCCUUACGUGUAGGGCUUUGCAUGUACCGUAUGAAUAAGGACCGGCCAAUUCCGUGCCAGCAGCCGCGGUAAUACGGAAGGUCCGGGCGUUAUCCGGAUUUAUUGGGGUUAAGGGGUGCGCAGGCGGUCUGUUAAGUCAGCGGUCAAAGCCCGGGGCUCAACCCCGGCCCGCCGUUGAAACUGGCAGUCUCGAGUUGGAGAGAAGUAUGCGGAAUGCGCGGUGUAGCGGUGAAAUGCAUAGAGAUCGCGCAGAACUCCGAUUGCGAAGGCAGCUUGCUGCAGCGGAACUGACGCUGAUGCUCGAAAGCGCGGGUAUCGAACAGGAUUAGAUACCCCAGUAGUC